GAUUUCUGGCUUGACAAGACUGGCCCGCUACAUUAGUAGUGAGUGUCGGUUCUUGUCUGCCAUCCUUCCACAGAACGUCUCUACCCUUCACUGGGCCGGAUUCGCAAUGUGGAACUUUUACUUUGAAAAAAUUAGAGUGUUCAAAGCAGGCUUGCGCUAUGAAUACAUUAGCAUGGAAUAAUAAUUUAGGACUUCGGUUCUAUUUUGUUGGUUUUCAGGACUGAGUAAUGAUUGAUAGGGAUAGUUGGGGGUGCUAGUAUUCAGCGGCCAGAGGUGAAAUUCUUGGAUUCGCUGAAGACUAACUUAUGCGAAAGCAUU
rnacentral:rRNA from 2 species